UCUCGGUGCUUGCCCGGGUGAUCAGUGGCGAACGGGUGAGUAACACGUGACUAACCUGCCCCCGACUCUGGGAUAACCCCGGGAAAUCGGAGCUAAUACCGGAUACGAGACGCACAGGCAUCUGCAGCGUCUGGAAAGAAUUUCGGUCGGGGAUGGAGUCGCGGCCUAUCAGCUAGUUGGUGAGGUAAUGGCCCACCAAGGCGACGACGGGUAGCCGGCCUGAGAGGGCGACCGGCCACACUGGGACUGAGACACGGCCCAGACUCCUACGGGAGGCAGCAGUGGGGAAUAUUGCACAAUGGGCGAAAGCCUGAUGCAGCGACGCCGCGUGGGGGAUGAAGGCCUUCGGGUUGUAAACCCCUUUCAGCAGGGAAGAAGCGAAAGUGACGGUACCUGCAGAAGAAGCGCCGGCUAACUACGUGCCAGCAGCCGCGGUAAUACGUAGGGCGCAAGCGUUGUCCGGAUUUAUUGGGCGUAAAGAGCUCGUAGGCGGUUUGUCGCGUCUGCUGUGAAAACCCGAGGCUCAACCUCGGGCCUGCAGUGGGUACGGGCAGACUAGAGUGCGGUAGGGGAGACCGGAAUUCCUGGUGUAGCGGUGGAAUGCGCAGAUAUCAGGAGGAACACCGAUGGCGAAGGCAGGUCUCUGGGCCGCAACUGACGCUGAGGAGCGAAAGCAUGGGGAGCGAACAGGA
rnacentral:rRNA from 1 species